GGGCUUAUGGUCUAAUGGUAUGAUUCGUUCUUAGGGUGGACGAGGAAGGGGUUCAAUUCCCCUUAAGCCCC